AGUGAACGCUGGCGGUAGGCCUAACACAUGCAAGUCGAACGGCAGCACAGUAAGAGCUUGCUCUUACGGGUGGCGAGUGGCGGACGGGUGAGGAAUACAUCGGAAUCUACUUUUUCGUGGGGGAUAACGUAGGGAAACUUACGCUAAUACCGCAUACGACCUACGGGUGAAAGCAGGGGAUCUUCGGACCUUGCGCGAUUGAAUGAGCCGAUGCCGGAUUAGCUAGUUGGCGGGGUAAAGGCCCACCAAGGCGACGAUCCGUAGCUGGUCUGAGAGGAUGACCAGCCACAAUGGAACUGAGACACGGGCCAGACCCCUACGGGAGGCAGCAGUGGGGAAUUUUGGACAAUGGGCGCAAGCCUGAUCCAGCCAUACCGGGUGGGUGAAGAAGGCCUUCGGGUUGUAAAGCCCUUUUGUUGGGAAAGAAAAGCAGCAGGUUAAUACCCCGCUGUUCUGACGGUACCCAAAGAAUAAGCACCGGCUAACUUCGU
rnacentral:rRNA from 1 species